UACGUAGGGACCGAGCGUUGUCCGGAAUCAUUGGGCGUAAAGAGCUCGUAGGCGGUUUGUCGCGUCUGCUGUGAAAACUCGGGGCUUAACUCCGGGCCUGCAGUGGGUACGGGCAGACUAGAGUGCGGUAGGGGAGACUGGAAUUCCUGGUGUAGCGGUGAAAUGCGCAGAUAUCAGGAGGAACACCGAUGGCGAAGGCAGGUCUCUGGGCCAUAACUGACGCUGAGAAGCGAAAGCGUGGGGAGCGAACAGG
rnacentral:rRNA from 1 species